AAGUACUGGUUUCUCGUCCAAUCACCGAAGUUAAGCAUCAUCGGUCGCGGUUAGUAUUUGGGAGGGUGACCACCUGGGAGCACCACGUACCGU